GCUUUGGCAGGCCGCCUUCGGGCGUCGGCUCGCGCUGACCGCGCCUGCCAGAGGACCCAAACUCUUUUGUUUAGUGAUGUCUGAGUACUAUAUAAUAGUUAAAACUUUCAACAACGGAUCUCUUGGUUCUGGCAUCGAUGAAGAACGCAGCGAAAUGCGAUAAGUAAUGUGAAUUGCAGAAUUCAGUGAAUCAUCGAAUCUUUGAACGCACAUUGCGCCCCUUGGUAUUCCGAGGGGCAUGCCUGUUCGAGCGUCAUUAUGACCACUCAAGCCUAGCUUGGUAUUGGAGCUCGCGGUCUCGCGGCUCUUAAAAUCAGUGGCGGUGCCAUCUGGCUCUAAGCGUAGUAAUUCAUCUCGCUAUUGGGUCCGGUGGUUGCUUGCCAACAACCCCCAACUUCCAAGGUUGACCUCGGAUCAGGUAGGGAUACCCGCUGA
rnacentral:rRNA from 1 species